CAGUAGCCGCCACGGUAAUGCGUAGGGGGCAAGCGUUAUCCGGAAUUACUGGGUGUAAAGGGAGCGUAGACGGUUAAACAAGUCUGAAGUGAAAUGCCGGGGCUCAACCCCGGAGCUGCUUUGGGAACUGUAGAACUGGAGUGUCGGAGGGGUAAGCGGAACUCCCAGUGUAGCGGCGAAAUGCGUAGAUAUUGAGAGGAACACCGGCGGCGAAGGCGGCUUAUUGGACGACAACUGACGUUGAGGCUCGAAGGCGUGGGUAGCAAACAGGAUUAGAUACCCGGGUAGUCCCUGUCUCUUU
rnacentral:rRNA from 1 species